rnacentral:siRNA from 1 species
UUGAAUCCCAGGUGUGCAUA